rnacentral:rRNA from 1 species
UACGAAGGGGGAGAGCGGUGCUCGGAAUGACUGGGCGUAAAGGGCGCGUAGGCGGAUGGCCCAGUCAGAUGCGAAAUUCCCGGGCUUAACCUGGGGGCUGCAUUUGAUACGUGUUGUCUUGAGUUCGGAAGAGGGUCGUGGAAUUCCCAGUGUAGAGGUGAAAUUCGUAGAUAUUGGGAAGAACACCGGUGGCGAAGGCGGCGACCUGGUCCGACACUGACGCUGAGGCGCGAAAGCGUGGGGAGCAAACAGG